ACCUGGCUAGCUCAUUAGGUGGAGCGUGAGACUCUUGAUCUCAGGGUCAUGAGUUUAAGCCCUGUGUUAGGCA
rnacentral:tRNA from 1 species